UACGUAGGUGGCAAGCGUUGUCCGGAAUUAUUGGGCGUAAAGCGCGCGCAGGUGGUUUCUUAAGUCUGAUGUGAAAGCCCACAGCUCAACCGUGGAGGGUCAUUGGAAACUGGGGAACUUGAGUGCAGGAGAGAAGAGUGGAAUUCCACGUGUAGCGGUGAAAUGCGUAGAGAUGUGGAGGAACACCAGUGGCGAAGGCGGGUCUCUGGGCAGUAACUGACGCUGAGGAGCGAAAGCGUGGGGAGCGAACAGG
rnacentral:rRNA from 1 species